UAGGGAAUAUUGGUGAAUGGGCGAAAGCCUGAACCAGCAACGCCGCGUGUGCGAAGAAGGCCUUCGGGUCGUAAAGCACUUUUUGCCGGGAAGAGGAAGGACGGUACCGGCAGAAUAAGCCUCGGCUAACUACGUGCCAGCAGCCGCGGUAAGACGUAGGAGGCGAGCGUUAUCCGGAUUUAUUGGGCGUAAAGCGCGUGCAGGCGGUUCUGUAAGUUGGGUAUGAAAUCUCCUGGCUUAACUGGGAGAGGCUACACAAAACUGCAG
rnacentral:rRNA from 1 species